ACGGUUACUGCCUGAAGCUCACCGACAUGAAGGGCUUCUUUCAGCCCUGCUAUGGGCUCCUGGAUCCCCUCCCCUUCUACGAGUCCUGCUACCUGGACGGCUGCUACAACCACAAGAAGUUCCAGCUGUGCGGCUCCCUGGCUGCCUACGGGGAGGCCUGCCGUUCCUUCGGCAUCCUUAGCACGGAGUGGAUUGAGAAAGAGAAUUGCUGUAAGAGAAUUCUUUUAUUCCUGUGGGUGCCACGGGGGUAGCAUUGUCCGAUGUCGGGUCCACCCUAUAUUUCCUUACCCAUCUGCUCCAUGGGGUGGGGGAGAGGGCUGUGAGCUGUCCCUGAGAUUUAAAGAGGAAGCAUUUCCAGGGGAGUCUGACCCUUUUGUAGCCCCUGACCAGUGCAGAAUAGAUGACGAGGCUCUGGCUCUGGGUCUGGCUCUGGGUCUGGGUCUGGCUCUGGCUCUGGCUCUGGCUCUGGCUCUGGCUCUGGCUCUGGCUCUGGCUCUGGCUCUGGCUCUGGCUCUGGCAGCAACCGUUUACACUUCGUGAAAGGACAUAGUUAGCCUGGAACUCCUGACUGUCUUACUUCUCAACUCAGCCGGAUUGAGCUGUCUUCACCUGGCUUCAA
rnacentral:lncRNA from 1 species